UACAGGGGGGGCAAGCGUUGUUCGGAAUUACUGGGCGUAAAGGGCUCGUAGGCGGCCAACUAAGUCACACGUGAAAGCCCCGGGCUUAACCUGGGAAUGGCCGUUGAAACUGGCGAACUGGAGUGUGGCAGAGGGGGGUGGAAUUCCUGGUGUAGCAGUGAAAUGCGUAGAUAUCAGGAGGAACACCGAUGGCGAAGGCAGGUCUCUGGGCUGACACUGACGCUCAUGCACGAAAGCGUGGGGAGCAAACAGG
rnacentral:rRNA from 1 species